rnacentral:rRNA from 1 species
UGGGGAAUAUUGGGCAAUGGGGGAAACCCUGACCCAGCAACGCCGCGUGAAGGAAGAAGGCCUUCGGGUUGUAAACUUUUGUCCUAUGGGACGAAAAAAAUGACGGUACCAUAGGAGGAAGCUCCGGCUAACUACGUGCCAGCAGCCGCGGUAAUACGUAGGGAGCAAGCGUUGUCCGGAAUUACUGGGCGUAAAGGGUGCGUAGGUGGCCAUGUAAGUCAGGUGUGAAAGACCGGGGCUCAACCCCGGGGUUGCACUUGAAACUGUGUGGCUUGAGUACAGGAGAGGGAAGUGGAAUUCCUAGUGUAGCGGUGAAAUGCGUAGAUAUUAGGAGGAACACCAGUGGCGAAGGCGACUUUCUGGACUGUAACUGACACUGAGGCACGAAAGCGUGGGGAGCAAACA